rfam:Gossypium raimondii chromosome 11, whole genome shotgun sequence.
UUAGUGGAGUUUUUAAACUCCACCAACAAAAUCAAUGGGUUGACA